GGUGGGUCCUAUGGUGGAAGAGUGUAGUGGAGGAAAGCAGCUGGGAACAUGGCUCCAGGAAGCAGAGAGAGAGAGAGAGAGAGAGCUCCACUCUUUGGUGACAAAAUACAUAUGCCAAAGGCACAUCCCCAAAGACCCACCUCCUCCAGCCACUCCUUACCUUUCAACAGUUGUCAACCAGUUAAUCCCUAUCACUCGAUUAAUGUACUGAUUAGGUUAAGGCUUUCAUAAUCCUAUCGUUUUACCUCAAAACUCUCUUGCAUAGUCUAGUACAUGAGCGUUUGGGGGACACCUCAUAUCUAAACCACAACAGGGAUGCAGCUUAGUGGUAAAGCAACCCUGGGUUCAAUCCCCAGUAACAAAUAAAUAAAUAAAGAUAUUGUUUAUGAGGGUUUUUAAUAAAGUUUGGGGAAAGAGUAAAGGAUUCUAGAAAACCCUAAAUCUCCCCUCGAACCCAAUUGGGCCAGCCUUUUCCCUUCCUGCCUAAUUGUGCCUGUUAUAGGAAAGGGAAUUAAAGACCAGACAUGGAAACAAACUUACUUAAGGUUACAUGAAUGUUUGGACAACUGGGAUGUAGAACUCAGUCUUCUGACUCCCAGGCUAGGUUCGAUUCUGGUUGGAGAUGGCAGAAGAGAACUAUCAGUAGGUGCUGUGCUCCCUAUUGAACUCUGGAGGACCCUGUCCUUGGUGGUGUUGUACAAUUGAGCAGAUUCUAGCGUACACACCAACUUGUGUAGCCAUGCCCACUAUCCAGUUCCAGACAUUUUUAUUUGUGCUCCCCUCCCAAACAAACAAGAAAUUCUCUGCCUAUUGGUAGUCAUUUCUCAAUUCUUCUUUUCCCCUCAGCCUCUGGAAACGGUUAAUCUACAUUUAGUCUCUGAAUUUGCUUAUUAUGACAUUUCCAUAAAUAGAAUCAUACAAUAUGUAACCUUUGGUGUCUGGCUUCUUCCACUUAGCAUGAUGUUUCCAAGAUUCAUUUAUUGUAGCAUCUAUCAGUACUCCAUUUUUUUUCUGGCCAACUAAUAUUCCAUUAUAUGGCUAUAAAUACAUUUGAUUUAUUCAUCAGUUGAAGGACAUGUUAGGCAUUGUCAAUAAUGCUGCUAUGAACAUGCAUGUGCACAUUUUUGCGUAGAAAUGUUUUCAUAUCUCUUGGGGCAUCUUUUAAAUGUCAAUUUACUGCGCUGGGGUUGUAGCUCAGUGGUAGAGCGCUU
rnacentral:lncRNA from 1 species